GGGGCAGUACCGGUUUCGACAGGGAUCAUGCAGCUGGUGAAGCUAUCCGCAGCCAUGCGUCAAAUGGCAAAACUAAAUAUAAACGCUGAAGACAAUUUAGCACUCGCCGCUUGAUUGCGGCUGUCGGCCUAGCGGCACCCACACCGCUAGAACCCGGCAUCGACUAUGUGGGAAACGAUAUGCGCAAAGCUUUGAGCGUAUAGGCGUAACAUGAAGCUACCAAAACCAUCAGGGCGCCCGUUCCCGGUUGGCAGAGGGAAUGUCAAACAUCGGGCUAUGAUAGUAGAAGAACAGGGAAUUGGUUUUUGGACACGGGUCCGACUCCCGUCUGCUCCACGA
rnacentral:tmRNA from 1 species